GGUUUGAUCAUGGCUCAGAACGAACGCUGGCGGCAGGCUUAACACAUGCAAGUCGAGCGCCCCGCAAGGGGAGCGGCAGACGGGUGAGUAACGCGUGGGAAUCUACCCAACUCUACGGAAUAACCCAGGGAAACUUGGACUAAUACCGUAUACGUCCUCCGGGAGAAAGAUUUAUCGGAGUUGGAUGAGCCCGCGUUGGAUUAGCUAGUUGGUGGGGUAAUGGCCUACCAAGGCGACGAUCCAUAGCUGGUCUGAGAGGAUGAUCAGCCACAUUGGGACUGAGACACGGCCCAAACUCCUACGGGAGGCAGCAGUGGGGAAUAUUGGACAAUGGGCGAAAGCCUGAUCCAGCCAUGCCGCGUGAGUGAUGAAGGCCCUAGGGUUGUAAAGCUCUUUCAACGGUGAAGAUAAUGACGGUAACCGUAGAAGAAGCCCCGGCUAACUUCGUGCCAG
rnacentral:rRNA from 1 species